UUAAUAGUAAAAUCUGCUCAAUGAAAAAAUUCAAUAGCCGCAAAUAGUGCUAAGGUAGCAUAAUCAUUUGUCUUUUAAAUGAAGACUAGAACAAAAGAUUUAACAUUUAAUUAUAUUUAUUUAAUAUAAUUAUCAAAAUUAUCCUAAAUGUAAAAAGACAUUUUAUUAUCAAGAAAGACGACAAGACCCUAUUGAACUUCACUUAAGUUUAACUGGGGCAGUUAAUUAAUUAUUAUUUUAAUCUUCAUAACAAUCUAUAUAUCUAAUAAAAUUAAAUUAUUCAGUUACCAUAGGGAUAACAGCGCAAUUAUAUUUCUAAAGCUCUUAUAUAAAAAAUAGAUUACGACCUCGAUGUUGAAUUAAUUACCUAGUUAAAGCAAAUUUUAAAAAAGGAAGUCUGUUCGACUUUUAAAAAAUUACAUGAUUUGAGUUCAGACCGGUGUAAGCCAGGUCGGUUUCCAUCUUCUCAUCAAAAUCCUUACAGUACGAAAGGACCUAAGAAUAUAAUAUCAUUAAAUUUAUUGGCAGAAUAUUGCAUUAGAAUUAGAAUCUAAUCAAACUUAA
rnacentral:rRNA from 1 species